rnacentral:tRNA from 1 species
UGUGGUGUAGCUCAGUGGUAGAGAACUUGUGCAGCAUACAUGAGGCCCUGGGUUUGAUCCCCAGCACCACAG